rnacentral:rRNA from 1 species
UACAGAGGGGGCAAGCGUUAUUCGGAAUUAUUGGGCGUAAAGGGCGCGUAGGCGGCCUGGCAAGUGGAAGGUGAAAUCCCUCGGCUUAACCGAGGAACUGCCUCCCAAACUGCUUGGCUUGAGACCGGGAGAGGCGAGUGGAAUUCCCAGUGUAGCGGUGAAAUGCGUAGAUAUUGGGAGGAACACCAGUGGCGAAGGCGGCUCACUGGACCGGUACUGACGCUGAUGCGCGAAAGCGUGGGGAGCAAACGGG